rnacentral:lncRNA from 1 species
UCCAACAUCUGCGGUCCCUUUGUCCUUUUGGCCAUGAUGAUAAAGGGUACAUUGGUCACUCAAACUAAUUUUGACAUAACCCUAAACCGAAAUCUACCUUUAAAUAUUGAUGGCAAGAUUCGAAACACAAGCAGAGAAAUAGAAGCGGUGCGGUUGUAAGUUCAAUCGGAGAUGUUGGAAGCUCAAUUGGUCUUCAACGAUACAGGUAUUCAUUCACUUUAAUUAUGAAGGAGAUAUAUCUAUUCCGUGCUGCUGGACAUGAAACAUUACUUUUGCAGAAACUUAGAUUUGGCGAUGAAUUCUGCCGUUCUUGUGUUUCAUGUGCUUGGUGUCUUCAAGUGAAAGAUUGAUCAUGUUGUACGACCACGGUUUCUAUGUAUAAGUUAUUGAUAUUAAUUGUUACUGCGUUGUGAGGUGAAUUAAUCGAUAAAUUGAUAUAAAUAUAUAUACAUGAGAUUGAUUGUUGAGUGGGUUUAUUCCGACUUAUGAGGAGGUAAUUACUGGCUCAUGAGGCGGUAACUUGGAAGGAAAUGAGUUUAUUAGGUAUAAUAAAUCAUAUAUUAACGAUUCAACAUCAAAGUGUCGCCGAGAUCGGAAGGUUGAAUAUAUUCUUAUAAAUAUAUGGAUGGCUUGUGCAAAAAAAAAUUUGGAUGCAUCUUUUGUGGAAGAAAGAACUGGGAAUCCAGUGACUGAAGAUAGUAUCGGCGGUGGACUGUGAAAGAACGAAUUGGGGAUCCUGUGGCUCAAGAUAGGAUUGGUAUACCCAGAAGCUACGUGUAUGUUGACCUAGCCUUAUGUCUUUCCAAGCUGGCAGGCUUAGCUUGUGUUUCAUUCUAUAAACCUGUUGCAAAAAUCGCAUCCUUGUUAGUAGAAAUUCUUAGAUGUACUUGAGCACCAGGUGCAUUUUUAUGUAUCAAUUUGUUUUGUAUGAAUAGAGAGUUGUAAUAGAUGAAGAACUAGUGCGUGAAAUUAAUCAAGAACGGAACUUGUUAAUGUAAUUUGUUAUUGUGCCUAACUUGAGUUUCUUUCUACUUAAUAUGCUAAAUUUCUGGAAACCAAAUAGAGGUUUCAUUUUCUGCAAUUCUAGUAAAAAAAUCAGGCCAAAUGACCAUUUCAAUUUGUUAGUCCAGUUGAUAUGUCCUUAGAGAUUCGAGUUAAAACUGGCGGAAAUCUUGUGAUGGCCUUUUACAUCUUAUAUUCUCUAUAGCAUUGUAUGAUGGUGAAGAGCCUUUCAAUUGUAUCAUUUUCUUCUUGUUAUGGGACAUUCCAACCUGGAUGGUGCCUGAGAUCAUUUAGAACCUAAAGGAUAACAUGACUAAAGAUUGAACUCAUUGCUACUUACUAGGCAGUUCUAUCAGGAAACUGUUAUAGUGAUUGGAUCUAAAGCUUCAAGUUCAAUUCAACAUUAAGCCAAGGGAAAUCGAAGCCUACUUCUUGUGGAUUAUUUUGUCCUUUGGUCAGUUAAAAAAGAAAUAGACCAUGAAGUUUGUAAUGUUCUUAUAAACAUGAAUACAACAUUUUCCUGCCCUGUACAAAUAACAGUUUCGAUUCUUCUGCUUGGCGUUUGAAAAACUGGGCAGAACCACCUAUUUCUACUAAAGCCUAUAUCAAAGCUAAUGCCCGAGUAAAAGCAUCGUUGUUGGAAACUGCCACUGUAUAUCAAAGCUAUAUUUCAUUUAUACUUUAUGCAUUAAUCUUAUGCUGAAAGAUGAAUCAAGUUGCUCGAUAUUCGAAUCGAGUUCAACUUGGUAAGGGUUCAUUCAAGCUUGAAUCGAUAACUAGUCAAACCAAAUUUGAAUAGUAUUUUACGUUCGAUAACAUUCAAAUUCGAUAAAAAGGUUGUUUAAAUUCGGUUCGUCAAAUAAACAAGUUAAAUUUGAAUAAAAUUCUAACCUCGUUAACAUAAUCAAACAAAUUUGAAUACUAGAGUUUUUAGAUUGAUUAGAUUCGUUUAUACUCGUACUUACAUAUACUAACAGUAUAUAUAUUAUUACGGUUAGAUGUAUGAUAACUAAUUUGAAUUUGAAAUUGAAAUUGAAAUUUUAUAUAUGUGUCAUGAAUCCAACCAUUGUAGUAUAUACAUUUUCAGUAUAUAUAAGAUCAUUGGUUCAAUGAAUUUUUGUCAAAAGAUUUUCUUAAAAAUAUUUAUUUUUUAAUGUGAACAUGCAUUGGGCUGCAAGGACUUUUUGAAUAUCCACAAAAUGCAUGUGGGAUUUCUUCGAGCAUUACAUGUUUUACAGACUAUUGGACGUGGACACCGAGCCCAAAACUAUAGGCCCAUCUGUGUCAGGGGAUAAAUUGAGGGAAGGAAAAAAUUCAUAAUGUAAAAAUAAUAUUUUCAAAACAAGAAUUGUUGAUCACACUUUUCCCAUGAAAAAUCAGUAGUUAAUCGGCGUGAUCAAAUUUCAGCUCCAAAUUCGAACUCUUGUGUCAAAUGGACAACAACAUAGGAGGGGUGGGGAGGAGGGGAGAUGGGAGAUAGAUUUGAUUACUGUAAUUGUUAUUUGUAAAUACCUUUCCAUCAUCUAUAAACACCAAUUAGCUAGUUAAGCACCUUUGCCACUGGGUGGGACAAAAUAUAAUUGUCUUAUGUUCAAUUAUUACAUGAUUGUUAUUUAUGUUACGUUUUUUUUUAACAAUACGUUUGGCUGAUUUUAACUCUAAUCACCUCCACGAAUCAAAAUAUAUCCUCAAAAUCAUAAGUCGUUAUAAGUGAUUCGUCUUUACUAACUAAUCCAGCAUGUGUUUGGCUUUAUAUUACAUGCUAUGUAUAACCAUAGAAUAUUGUUAUACUUGUGAGUUUUGUUCAGAUAGAUCAUCUCUUCAUACAACAACAACAAUAAUAUGUAUGUGUGUACAUCAAACUGUAUGCCAUGAAGGAUGCCUUGCAAACUUUGAGAUAGGAGAUGAAGGGGGGAAGAGGCAUCCGAAUUGUAUCCUGAAGUCAAGUACACUACCGUUGAGGACUACCUUAAGCGAUAUGCAUGAUUGAUGCCUUAAUACUAAGUUAUUUGAAUUGAUAUCCGGAAGUUGCUAAUGCAACUGCUCCUCUAGCGUAUGCACAGGUUUUGAUAAUUGUUGUUCAUUAGCCACACUUUUAAGAUUCUCGACAUCCCUUUUGAUUGAAAUCAAAUAUUGUAUGUUUACUUAGGAAUAAUUGGACUAUUUUAGAGAUUUAUGGUAGGUUUAUGCUAUAAACCUCCCUAGCGUUUGGUGUCAGUUGUACUUUACUCUCUAUAUUUUAAAGCGUGGGGCUAAAUCCACACCCCUCUAGUCUAAAUUCACACCUUUUAUACCAAAAUAUCUAUAAAACCCAUACUAUUUAGGGUGGGGCUAAAUUCACACUUCUCUAGUCUAAAUCCACACUUUUUACACCAAAAUAUCUAUAAAGCCCAUAUUAUUUAUCAAAAUUUCAUAGGAACUUUUUCAAUACCAAAACUAACCUUUUGUGAUGGGAAAAGAUGGCGCUAAUUAAGUUUAUUUUUUCCCCCACUCAAUUGCAUCCUUUCAUCAUCCCUAUUCCUUACCUUCUGAUAUUUACGAAUUAUAGCAGCAACUAUUAUCAUCAGCUGAAGAACUUCGAACUUCUAGUUCCAAGUGAAUAUGAAAUCAUUGACAUGAUCAUCAUUUGUUUUCUUUUUUAUUAUCAAUAGAUAUUUGUAAAUCAAGUAUCACUCUUCAAUUUGAUCCUGAAAUUUUUGUUUUUUUUAUUAUCAAUAAUAAUUUUUUGAUAAAUUUUUGCUAUACUCUAGUGCAUUUUAGUUGAUGAUGAUAGUUGCCACUAUAAGUCUUCGGUAUUGGAAGGUAAGGACAAGGACGAUAAAAUGAUAUGAUAAAAAAAGGAGAAAGAUAAACUUGAUUGACUUCAUCUUUUUCCACUACAAAGGAUUAGUUUUGAUAUUGAAAAAGUUCCUAUGAAAUCCUGAUAAAUAGUGUGAGCUUUAUAGACAUUUUGGUGUAAAGGGUGUGGAUUUAGACUAAAGAGGUGUGGAUUUAGCUCCACCCUAUUUUACUGUCGAUGAAAAUCAUAUUUCAUCAUUCGACAUUUCAAACUAUUAUCGUGCAAGCAACAUGAUCAAAUAAUGACUGAACAUUUUGUCACUGUGGUGUGUUCAUGCAUCACAUUACCUGUAUUAAUGUAUUCCCUUGCUAUAAUAACUGUAAACAACUUAACAGAACCAUUUCAGGACAAUCUGAGUUUUGGUAUUCUUUGCAAAGAAUGCAGAAGUGGAAAUGUCAAAUUGCACUUUAACUGAUCCAGAGAUGGAAAAGAACUUAAACCUUGAAAAAAGAAUUACUCAACUUGAGCCCUUUAAACAAUGUUAAAACUAAGAACACCUCCAUUCUGGAGGAUUUUGAAUAACUUAGUAGCCCUUGUAGCUGGUGUUAGUAGUAUCCGUCCAAGCAAAUCUUAUAAAUCUCAAAACCGCUUAAUGGAAGCAAGGGACCUUUAUUCUCAAAAAAAGAAUUUAUUACUUAUUCAACAAACAUCCAAAGAUCUUAACUGAUAUUUGUCCAAUAGUGUCCAUACGCACGCAAUACCUACCAAAUCAGAAUUAGAAUCUAAGCUUCUCUAGACGAAAUACAUAAUGUCACUUGUUAAAAUGACUAAUUUGGCCACAAAAUAUUUUUUUUAUGUAUAUUUGAUGAUGCACAAUUAAUUUUAUUCAAAUAAAUUUUUGUAUAGUAUUUUAAUUUUUGGACACUCCACCUGCAUUGGGCUGCAAAGAUUUUCAGCAUGCCCGCAGAAUGCUCGUGGGCUUUUAGUAAAGUUUCCAUUAUUGCGUGUUUUACACAGAAUUGGACAUGGACUUCAAACGAAAAACAUAGCCGUCAGUUGGGGAAAAUAGGAUUGAAAGACGAAUCAAGUUACUUGAUAAUUUGAUUCAAGAAGAGCUCGUUUAAAUUUGGUUUGUUAACUAAUCAAAUCACAGUUGAAUAACAUUUUAUAUUUGAGAAACUUUUAAGUUUAGCUCAAGCUCAAUUUGAUUAGCAUGAAAGUGAAAUUUUAUAUAUAAAAUAUUCAAACUACUUGAAUUCGACUUGUGCUCGACUCGAUAAAAACUCAUUUAAACUCAACUCAAAAAGUAAACAAAUCAAGGUUAAACAUAAUUUUAAACUCAUCAAAAUAAUCAAAUAAUUUUGAAUAAAAAGUUGUUUGGCUCAUUUAGACUCAUUUACACCAUUAGAGAAAAUAAGUUGAAAUAGACGAACGGGAAGGUUGACAAUUGACUUUUCGAAAGUAGAAUAUUGCAUUCACUUUCUCCUUGAAAAUUUAGCAGUGUAAUGGAGAAGAAAAUAGUAGAAGAAAAAAAAAUAGAAGUCUCCUGUGCAAAAAGAGAAGAAAAUGGUAGAAGAAAAAAAUUAAAAUCUUUUUUUUUUUCUUUUCUCAACCAUGUAAUCUAGGGGCAUCGAAUGAGCAUGAAAAAAUGGAUUGGGCUUAUAAUGAAACUCUGGCAUUACCACUCAUUCCCUAAAUUAAUUUUUUUUUGCAAAUAAGAUAACUCCAAACUUUUUUGAUUUAGAAUAGAUCCGUGUUUAACUUUUUGAUUUAGAAUAGAUCCUUGUUUUAUCUGUCAUAAACUCAUAAUUCACUAUUAUUAAACAUAAAUUCAUAAAAUUCGCACAGAUUUUUGUCCAUGUGGAUCAUCUCUGUAGACUAAAUUCGUUAAGAAACAUAUGAAUUAUGCACAAUCAAACUGAAAAUUAGUUGCAUACCAACUACAAAGACGUGCUUUGGUAUUUGCUCCACAAAUUUACGCCUCCUUUCCUUCCUACUAAAAAGCGUGGACUGACUUCUCCAUUUCGCUACAAUAAGAUAGCAGUAAGAAUCACGCCUCUACGCCAACUUCACCCACGCCUUCUCUCUGUCGCCUUACAUCCUGAAUCGUAGAGCUGGACCAAUUACCCCAGCCUAAAGGCGUUCAACCUAGCUAGCGCUAGUAACUAGGAAGUGCUAUAAAACUUCCAGCCUCAUAUUUCAAACACUUAUGAGUAUUAUGUUAAAGUGGUUCUAUAUAUGCCAAAAAAUGCUUGAACUCUAGCAUUUCGGGUAUACAUGUUUACGCCAUAUUCACAUUUGAUGGUUUCUUUUUCAAUCUUCAUUUGCAUAUAGGCCUCAUUGGCAAAAUUUUUUCGAAAUAAAAGGAAAAAUUCAAUUUGCUCAGAAGGAAAAAAAAAAAGGAAUUUGAUCAGCAAACAAGAUCAAGAUCUCCUCCAUUGAGAGUUGUGUCUUAUGCAAGAAAGAACUUCAAUUGUCUGGCACCUCUUUGCUUUUCUUGCUGGUCCAAACUAGGGAUUCAGUACUUUAUUUACAUUUAAUAUAUCAAAAGCAAUUAAAUGAUUCACACUAAAAGAAGAAAGAAAGUAGGAUAGAUUGGCAGAAAAAAAAAAAGAAAAAGAAAGACUUAGAAAGUUAUCUUUUGUUGCCAUUUGGUCAAUUCUUGCUCAUCUAACGUAAGCAUCACCAAAAAAGAAAAAAAAAACAUUAACUGAACCAAGAUAUCAAUGGACAUGAAUUCUAUCCCAGUUUCUUUUUCGCCAUUUCAAUGAUGUCCUUCAGAUCACAAUGGGGAGAACAACAAAAAAAGCAGAGACACUGGUCAGGAUUAUAGCUGGAGCAGAAUCCACGAGCAAUUGUUUGGUUUUUUCCUCCAUGUUCUUUCAAACAUUCCUCAUUGCAAGUAUUGUUGUUACAUGUUUUUCCAGUAGGAAUAAUGACUGCACAUUCUCUAGUUAUUGCGUUCACCUUUGACACUGAUCCAUUCCCUACAUUUGAUCAUUCAAAAGUUGGAAAACAAAAUUUGAGAAUAUUGUUAAAGCAAGUAACUAACAAAACCCCUAAUUACCAUUGUCUUAAAAAAGUCAGUUUUUGCAAGUGUGUCUAAAUAUAUUUUGUUCUAUUGUUGUUGGAAGUGGGUAUGUUACUCCUUUGAUCCAGAUCUAGAAUUAAAUUUAAUUAGACCUAAAAAAAUAAAUUCAAACCCGAACCCUCAUGGAUUUUGGUAUCCAAUAGGUACCCGUGAGUAAUUUUCUAAACAUUCAAUGAAUAACUAAAGUAAAAAUAUUUUAAAAAUAUAUAGAGUUCAAAAAUAACAUAAAUACCAUCUAAUUUUAUUUUCAAAUAAUAAAAUAAACAUUCAAGAAGUUGAAUGUAAUAUUAUGAAUCAAAGAAAAAAUUAUUAGCAGUUAUUUCUAUUUAUUUUUUAAAUUUUAUUUGCAUCUACAUUCAAUCUUUCAUUUGUUUACCUUUAUUUUUUUCUCCUUUAAUCUAACAAUCAUGAAAUCUUACUAUAUUCGAUCCAAUGACCAUAAAAUAUUAGAUUAUUUUCUAACUUUACUUACAUAUAUAUAUAUAUAUAUAUAUAUAUAUAUAUAUAUAUAUAUGCAUGUAUAUGUAUGUAUACACACACACUAUUAUUUAUUUAUACAUGAGUUUGAGUAGGAUUAGAUUUGGAUCUAGAUUUGGGUAUGGAUCAUAGAAAAUCAGACCCUACUCAGAUCCAUGACUCUUACCGGAUCAUGGUUUGGAUAGGGUUUGGAUUUGAGAAAUUAAACCUAAAUCCUAUCUAAUUAUAUCGGGUCUAGAUUGGAUUUAGGUAAAAUCUGACCCAUUGACACGUCUAGUUUGAACCUAUUUAACUUCUUAUUUAUUCUUUGAAUAGUCUCCUUACAAAGGAAUAAUUUUACAGAAAUUAGAGAAGACGAAACUACUGGAGAAAGAUUUUAUGGAAUUUAAUUUAAGCUCUUGAAACAAUAGUUGGAAACUCUUUUGUAGUCGUUGAAAAUGCACAUGCCUUGAUAAUUGCUGUGCAUUAAAAUCAUAAUAUUAAAAAGUGUCUAUUGUGUCUUCUAUGAUUCUACACUGUAAUCUAAUCAAAACUAGUAUCUUCCUCGUAUUAUUCAUGAAGAACAGCAAAUCAGACAUUUAAGGGGAAAAAAAAAGAAGUAAUGAGAUUCUUUACCGACUAUGAUGAAGAGAAGAACAAUCGCAGUUGCAAGACUAGAGUAACUCCUCAUGGUUUGCCGUGGGAUUUAGGAGGCUGUAGUGUAGAAUUUUCAAGUGCAAAAGAAGUAGACAAAUUAACAUCUAGUCACACUCAUAUAUAAGUGAGUUAACCUAGAAAAAAGUUAAACAUGUUUUCUUAAUUAGCGCCUUCUACUGCUAAUUUAGUAUCAUUAAUUCCUUUUGUGUGGAUUCAUGUUAUGGUACAGAACCUCAGAUCCAGCUGGGAAUGGAAGAUUAAUGCUGAAGUAAUCGAACUUCUAAUUAACACUCAAAUGAAUGGUAACUUUAAUUGGAAGAACCUCUAAUUUUAUUGAUGAACUUCAAAUUGGAUACAGAAACAGAUUUGGGCGGGAAAAGGAAGAAGGGGGAAAAAGAAUGCAGGAAAACAGGAGUGAAAAGACAGAGGGAAUAUUUCCUCUCUGAUUGCAGAACAAAUCUUAGACAAAAAGCUCUCUAUCUAUUACAUAAUCGAUCUAUUUAUAGAGAAUUAACUAACUAACUUCCUUCCUAGCUAAUAAGCAAACGCCACGUGUAAUUGAGAAUCUUCAGGUUGUUGGAUCACAAAUUCCGCAAGAAUAGCAUGAACCCAGAAUGGGCGUGCUUCGUUGGCCACGCCUUUAGUACUUCUUUCCACGCCUUCUCCUUUGCUGACUCCACGCCUUCUUCUUGUUUUUGUAUUGGUUAUUUGUUGAUUUUGUUAGUCCGCCCCUUCCAGUGUAUCUUCUUAGCUUUGCACGCCUUAUCUUAUAUUUCUUUCACGCCUUCUCUUCCUCAGUCCCCUACUUCAUGACAAUACUCCCCCCUUGAAAGCAAAUCUUGCCCUCAAGAUUGGAAAGUGGGAAAUUGUUGUUUUAUCUCUUCUGCGAGCUCCCAUGUGGCCUCUGCAGGAUCUGUUCCCCACCAAUGGAUCAACCACUGUGUUGCAGCAGCAUUUCGUUUCUUCACCAUCCUCCUGUCAAGCACUGCCACUGGUUCUACCCUCCAAUGUCCCUUUUCAUUUGUGUCAGGCAAUUGAAGUGUAGGGGUGACUGUGUUUCCUACCUUCCGUUUGAGCAAGGAUACAUGGAAGACAGGAUGGACCUUUGAUGAGGUUGGCAGGUCCAGUUUGUAUGCCACUUGUCCUAUCCUUUCUUCUAUCCUGUAAGGGCCAUAAUACCUGGCUGAGAGUUUGGUAUUCCCUCUCAAGGCUACUGAAGUCUGUCUAUACGGCUGUAGCCUCAGGUAUACCCAAUCUCCUGUGUUGAACUCCCUCUCACUUCUCCUCUCAUCAGCAUACCGUUUCAUCCUCUCCUGAGCCUGCUUCAAGUUCUGUUUCAGCACGUUAUCAAUCAGCUGUCUCUCUUUGACAUAAUCCCCUACUGCAGCCACUCUGGCCUGCUGGUAAGGCCCCAGAGCCAGUUGGGGAGGGGGAAGGCCAUAUAAUGCCUCAAAGGGGGUCAUCUGAAUAGCAGUGUGGUGUGAGGUGUUGUACCACCAUUCUGCCAUAGACAACCACUGGUUCCAUUUCUUAGGCUCCAUAUGUGAUAAGCACCUGAGGUACAUCUCUAGCACUUGGUUUACCCUUUCUGUCUGGCCAUCAGUUUGAGGAUGAUAGGCUGUGCUGUAGUUCAGCUUAGCCCCCAACGUAUUGAACAGUUCUCCCCAGAAUUGACUAACAAAUAUCCUGUCCCUGUCUGAUAGCAUGUUCUGAGGCAUCCCAUGCAACUUACUGACUUGGUCAAUGAAGAGCCUGGCAACCUUUGGGGCAUCGAAUGGAUGUGAGAGACUGAUGAAAUGAGCAUAUUUUGUGAACCUGUCCACCACUACCAUUAUAGUAUUCUUCCCUUCUGAUUGUGGCAAUCCCUCAAUGAAGUCCAUGGUAACAUGACUCCAAGAGUGCUGAGGGAUAGGUAAUGGCUGUAGCAGGCCUGGAUAGGCUACAUGUUCAUCUUUACACUUUCUGCAAGUGUCACAUUCCAGCACCUUCUCCUUGAUGGUUUUGUACAUCCCUGGCCAGUAGAACAGAUUUUUGGCUCUCAGGUAGCUAGCUUGAAUUCCUGAGUGUCCUCCCACCUGGGAGUCAUGUAAAGCAGUGAUGAUCUUUUCUCUGAUGUCCCCCUGGCCUCCUACCACCAACCUUUUCUUGUACCUGAGUAUACCAUCAUGGUAAGAGUAAUCUGGUACGUGAGUAGGAGUCAGUAAUACCUGAGAUAUAGUCUCCUUGAUCCAGUCAUCCUCUUUAUAGCUCUCCAACACCUCCUGUAUCCAUGUAGGUAUUGCACAUGAUAUGGCAGAGCACUCUCCUGUCUCUUCUCUGCCAUGCCUAGAAAGUGCAUCAGCAGCCACAUUGUCUUUCCCUUUCUUAUAGUGAAUCUCAUAGCUCAGGCCAAGCAGCUUGGUAAGCCAUUUUUGUUGGAGAGGGGUAGUGAUCCUUUGUUCAAGCAGAUACUUCAAACUCUGGUGGUCUGUGUGUAUGAUGAAGUGAUGUCCCUCCAGGUAGUGUCUCCACUUAGUCACAGCAGUUACCAAUGCCAGUAGCUCCUUUUCAUAGAUGGACAGCCCCAUAUUUUUUUGGCCUAGGGGUUGGCUGAGGUAGGAAAUAGGCUUCUUGUUCUGCAUCAGCACUGCUCCUAUGCCAUGGUAGCAUGCAUCUGUUUCAAUGAUGAAGGGUUGAGUGAAGUCAAGGAUAGCUAGGACAGGGGUGCUGCACAUGGCCUCCUUCAGUUUCUGAAAAGCCUUUUCUGAGUCCUCAUUCCAGUGGAAGUUGUCUUUCUUUAGUAAGUUGGUCAAGGGCCUUGCUAUGGCUCCAUAGCCCUUGACAAACCUCCUGUAGUAACCAGUCAACCCCAGGAAACCUCUCAACUGCUUGAUAUUUGUUGGUUUUGGCCAGUUCUUCAUGCCUUCAAUCUUCCCUGGGUCAGCCUGAACCCCUUCUGCUGAUAUGAUGUGUCCCAAGUAUUCUACCUGCAGUUGUGCAAAAGAGCACUUACUCAUCUUGGCAUAUAGCUGAUGUUGCCUCAGGAUGUUCAAGACCUCUGUCACUUGCUGCACAUGUGCCUCCAUGGUUGGGCUGUAAACCAGGAUAUCAUCAAAGAACACCAGUACAUGUUUUCUCAUCUGCUCCUGGAAGACUUGGUUCAUCAGACUUUGGAAGGUUGCAGGGGCAUUGGUCAAACCAAAUGGCAUGACCUUGAACUCAUAGAGUCCUUGAUGUGUCCUGAAGGCUGUUUUUGGAAUGUCCUCCACCUUGACCCUGAUUUGGAAGUAACCAGCCCUUAAGUCAAUUUUAGUGAAGUACCUGGCUCCAUGCAGCUCAUCAAUCAGCUCUUCAAUCAAGGGCAUGGGAAACUUGUUCUUGAUAGUCAGCUCAUUCAGUUGCCUGUAGUCCACACAGAAUCGCCAGGAUCCAUCCUUCUUCUUGACUAGCAAUACUGGAGAAGCAAAGGGGCUGCUGCUAGGCUGUAUGAUACCUAUUUCUAGCAUCUCCUUCACCAAUUUCUCAAUUUCUGUCUUCUGCACGUAGGGGCAUCUGUAUGGCCUCACCUGGAAAGGUCUGGCCUCCUCUUUCAAAGUAAUCUGGUGAUCAUGGCUCCUGGUAGGUGGCAUCCCUUUAGGCUCUUCAAAAACAUCCUUGUACUGAUCCAGAACUUGACUGAUUUCAGUAGGUAUUUGCCCUGGGUCCUCUUCCUCUACUACUGCUGCUAAUUGUGCUACUACCCCAUAAGCUUGCUUCCUUAGCCAUUUCUUCAGCCUGUUUUCCUUGAGUCCUCUUAGUUUGACACUGUUACCCUCCCCUCUUAGCACUACCUCCUGUUCUCCUUGGUGGAUCCUCAUACUGAGGUCCUUGAAAUCGAAUUCAAUGGGGCUAUGCCUUGCCAACCAGUCCACUCCUAGGAUCAUGUCACAGCCCCCCAGUUUAAGAGUGUUGAAGGUAUGCUGGAAUUGGUGUCCCUGCAUUUCCCAUUGCAGGGGCUUGUCUAGUCCCAUUGAGUUCACCUUUUCUCCAUUAGCCACAUUGACCAUCAUUCUAGGUCCCUGUGUACCAAGCCUCAGUUUUGUUGCCAGUUGCUCAUCUAUAAAACAAUGGGUGCUGCCACUGUCUAUUAAUGCAGUAACCUGUCUCCCUUUUGUCAGACCUUUAAGCUUUAAGGUCUUGUGCCCUGCACCUCCAGCCAAUGCAUGCACAGAUACUUCCAUGUGUUCAUCAGCCAGCUCUCCAGUAGUACAAUCACAGUACACCUCAUCCCCCUGCUCUUCCUUCCCUCCUGCAGACCCCUCUUCUUCAGCUAGUAGGUAAUGAACAUGAGACUGUUUACAUAUAUGUCCCAGGGUAUAAGGCUCAGCACAUUUAUAGCACAGUCCUUUCUCCCUUCUCAAGUUAAACUCAUUAGGGGAAAUCUUUUUGAAUUGGCUCUGGUUGAAUGAUUUUUGGUUAUAAGGUCUAGGAGUGUGUUUGGAGUUGUCUUGGUUCCACUUGGAAGGAGUAAAUGUCUUUACUGGCCCCUUCUGGCUAUGGAGGCCAGCAGGAACAGGUCUGUGUAUUUUCUGUAUGGCCUUAAGGUUUCUCUCUUGCAGUUUAGCUAUUUCAAUGGCAUCAGCUAAAGAUUCAGGUUUAGAUAUCUUAACCACAUUGACAAUUUCCUCUUUCAAUCCACUCAUAAAACAUGCUUUAUAAUAGGAAUCAGACAAAUGUGGUAAGGAUGGCAUUACCAGGGCCUUGAGCAUCUCAAAUUUCUCCAGGUAGUCAGCCACUGAUCCAGCUUGUGUCAGCUUGUUGAACUCCUCGAUGGCCUCCUCAGGUUUCCCUUCUCCAAACCUGACACACAGAGCAGUAGACAGCUCCUCCCAGGGUAUAAUCUCCCUUCCAUGGAAGACUCCAUGGAACCAGAUGUCUGCCCUGUCCCUGAAGUAGAGUUCAGCCACAUCAGAUUUCAUAUCAUCCUCCACUCCAUGUAUCUUGAAGUAUUUGUUGGCCUUCCUGAUCCACUCUCUAGGAUUGUCCCCAGUGAAAACUGGUAGAUCCAUCUUAGGUAACCUGUGGUCAUUCCUGGAUUCUUUCCUUCCAGACAAUUCUCUCCGUGGAUCCAAUUUAGAUCCUUCUGGUUGAGUCACCUCCCUAGAACUGCUGCUUCCUUCCUGGUCCUUGCCACGCUCAUUCACCUUAGACAUAAGUUGAGCCAUCAUGUUCAUCAGCCCCUCAUAUUUCUGAUCAAUCCCCUUCAAUAGCUUUUCAGCAGCGUCUUGCCUGAAUUCCAUUGAUCUGAUAGCUUGCUCUAUUCCCUCAUUUUUGUUAGUGAAGGUCCUGACCACACUACCUAGCUCCACUACUUCUCUCCUCAGUGUCUCAUCCUGAUUUUUUGUCAUCCCUAUGGCUCGUUACCUCAGCUCUGAUACCACUGUUAUGGUACAGAACCUCAGAUCCAGCUGGGAAUGGAAGAUUAAUGCUGAAGUAAUCGAACUUCUAAUUAACACUCAAAUGAAUGGUAACUUUAAUUGGAAGAACCUCUAAUUUUAUUGAUGAACUUCAAAUUGGAUACAGAAACAGAUUUGGGCGGGAAAAGGAAGAAGGGGGAAAAAGAAUGCAGGAAAACAGGAGUGAAAAGACAGAGGGAAUAUUUCCUCUCUGAUUGCAGAACAAAUCUUAGACAAAAAGCUCUCUAUCUAUUACAUAAUCGAUCUAUUUAUAGAGAAUUAACUAACUAACUUCCUUCCUAGCUAAUAAGCAAACGCCACGUGUAAUUGAGAAUCUUCAGGUUGUUGGAUCACAAAUUCCGCAAGAAUAGCAUGAACCCAGAAUGGGCGUGCUUCGUUGGCCACGCCUUUAGUACUUCUUUCCACGCCUUCUCCUUUGCUGACUCCACGCCUUCUUCUUGUUUUUGUAUUGGUUAUUUGUUGAUUUUGUUAGUCCGCGCCUUCCAGUGUAUCUUCUUAGCUUUGCACGCCUUUCCUUAUAUUUCUUUCACGCCUUCUCUUCCUCAGUCCCCUACUUCAUGACAAUUCAAUCUAAAAAUAGUUUUUUCUUAAAAAAAAAAAAAUUAGUCCUUAAUAACCGAAAUUUCCAAACGUUACCAAAAAAUUAGACGAUGGUUAAAAUUUCCUAACUUUACCAAAAUUAUAGUGAAUAAUUAAAUGUUAUGGACUUCAUAUUAAGAAAGAUUCCCCCAACUACCUUAAUCUUUUAUUAACCUUAACAAAGAUAGCUAUAACUAUCUAAUAAUUAACGAUUUUUCUAAUGAAUGCCCUAUGGACACUUGUUAUAACACCAAACUAAAGAAACAUCUUUAGAAUUGGUGCAUUUUACUAAGAAUAACGGUGAACAAUUCAAUGAUCUGAACACCAAAUAAACGAAAUUGUAAAAAAUUAAAGGGCAAAUUUCGAUUUAGCCCUUUGAAAUAGACCAAAGUAUUGAUUCGGUCCAUGAAAGUGAACAAGUUUCAAUUAAGCCUUCUUAACUGGAACUUUUGUUCUAAAUAGGACCUUCUGUCGAUUUACAUUUGAUCAAUAACGUUUAAUUAAACCUUAGUGGUAUAGUGAAAUCUGAUAAUUUCUACUUACUUUAGAGCAAUUAACUUCUCACUUAAAUGAUCCAAAAAGGAUAGAAUAAUACUCUUCUAACCAGAUUUGGAACACUGAAAUAGCAUUAAAACUUUUUUUUUUAAAGAUUAGAAGAGCAAUAUUUUAUCCCUUUUAGAUCAUUUAGGCGAGAAAUUAAUUGUUUUAAAGUCCCUAAAAAAUAGGUAGGGUUUCACUUUACUACUAAAGUAUUGUCAAAUUUUAUUGACCAAAUAUCAAAUGGUGAAAAAGCUUAUUUGGAAUCAAAUUUCCACUUUGAAAGGCUUAAUUGGGAGUUAAAUCACUUUUACGGGCUAAAUUGACACUUUGGUCUACUUUGAAAGGCCAAAUUGAAAUUCACCCAAAAUCUAAUGAGUUGAAUACUAAAUUAAGGAAAAUUUCCCACUUCUCAUGAUUUGAAUAGAGCAUAAAUUUUUUUUUAAAAAAUAAAAAUACUGUAACAAACCCAAUUUUUUUCAUCUCUUUGCUUUUCCCAAUUUUUUUUGAUCUUUUUGCUUUUCCUAGAAAAUCUAACAUUCUUGCAAGAAAUCGGAUCUGCCAAAAUGCAAGGUGUGUUUCCCAUCAAUUUUUCAGAAUGGACAUUAAAAAAACUACAUAGAUGCUCAUAUCUUCUAACUUGCGUAAUCAAAUUAAAUAUUUAAUGUGUUUCUUAUCUUGUAACAAGACAUGCACUUUUUCUUUUAUUCAUUUAUUAUAAAAUUUAUCUUUCAUUUUUUUCAUUUUUUAAGACUGCACAUAGGAAAUUGUUGUAUCAAUUGUAUGUUAAACUCUUAGUUCAUGAUUUUGUUUAACAAAAUCUUGUAUUAAUGAAGUGACGAAAUUCAAAUCUAUCGUGAUAUUAUUCUAGAAAAAAAAAUAUUUGAACAACAUAAAAAUACAAUCUCAAAAUUUUCAUUUUAUAAAUAUAUUUAUAGUAGUACAUUACUAUUAUGUUUUCCUCUAUGUGAGCAUUACUCUUUGAAAUUAGGACACUUCUUAUUAGUUUUUUUUUUCUAAUUAUUUGAACUAAUAUCAAGUACCAAACUUCCCUUACACAUCAUAUCAACUUUGACUCAAUUAUUUAUGUUUUCACUAAUUCAAAUAUUCCAUUCUUUAUACAUGACAAAGGGUAGGACUUAAACUAAAACCAUAAACUUGAACUAUAUAUAUUUAAUUUGCAUGCAUCCAAGCCUAUACUUUGACCUAAUAGGCUUAAAGAAGAGCCUAAAACUAAGGGUGCGUUUGAUAAAACUAAAAUCUGAAAACUGAAAUUUGAAGUCUGAAAUAUAAAAUCUAAAUCCAUUAAAUUAGUGAAUUGUUAAGUAUUAAAUUUGAUAUAUUUGAGUGUAUAUUACAUUAAGUGAUAAAUAAAUAGCUUAUUACUUAUUUUUUGGAGCAAAUUUUGCUUAAAAAAUUCAAUGCCACUUAAUGAAUUCAGAUGUUUUAGUUUUAGUUAUCAAAUGCAUCUAAAUAUGUUAAGAUCUGAACACAUUAAAUUUAAAUUUUGAAUUGCAUUAUCAAACAUGGCAUAAGUAUAACACUUUUCUAUAUUGUAUAGAAUAAAGUGCAUAUUUUAAACUUUGAUUUAUUUUGCAUACUUAUAUUGGUUAAUUAGUUUUCUUUUUCAUCUAUUAUCUUUGGUUGGGAUAAAGAAGUUGUCUAUUAUUAGCAAAUUUUAAACCAACUACACAAUCCUAAUUAUUCUUUUGUUUAUUUAGUAUCUUCUCUUCAUGAAUAUAGCUUUUUGAUGUGUAUUCUAUUUCUCUUUCUUUAACAUUUCUUACUUACAUAGUUCUAAUCAUAUCGCAUACUCACAGUGAUUAUAUUUGGAAAAUGUUCAAUAUAAUACUCUUAUACUAAGGGUAAGCUUUAAGGCGAAUUGAUUUUGCUAUGGGAACUUAAAUAAGCAACGAUACGCAUGGAUUGGUUUUGGGACUGUUUUGUGGAAUUUUCUGAAAAACAUUUUGAAUGGCUAUUUACAAACCCCAUAAGGUAGAAUUUCAUGAAAUUACACACUAGAUUUUUGUCAUAGAUCACAAUUUUUUCAUUGUCUUUUUGGAUUUUUUUAAGUUUAUUUUGUGAAGGUAAAGAUGUAAGUUACUAAAAAAAAGAUAUUUGACAAAACUACAAAAAAAAAAAAAAUAAUUCUUUUGUUGUUCAUGGACAAUUUCAGAAUAUUGUAAAUUCUUAGGUACAGCAUGAUGAAUGAGAUGAAUUUUUAUAGAAUAGAACAAAUGGUAGGAAAUUGCAAUAGUAGAUGAUAAUUGAACAUAAUUUUUCAGACAAUUUCAUAGAUUUCUUAAGUUGAUGAUUGGGGCUAUUGCCUAUAGUUCUUUUCCUUUCACUUCAAUGGACACAUUUUGAUAGAAAUUUGUACUACUUGAUACCAUAUUGAACUUUUAGUUUUUUCUUUGCAAAUGACUCUGUUUUUUAACAAAAUAAUAUUUCUAUUUUGAUUUAAAAUGUAAACAAUCUAGAUUGUAUGGUCACCCUGAAAGUCAAUGAAUAAUCUGAUUUAGUUUGUAUUAUUCCAUUCUUUCCUUUUUCACUAGUUAAUUGUCAAUGGAGAAAGCUUGUCGUAAGUUGCACUUUGUUCUUUCUUCUUCUUGAAUAUUUACAUAUUCGGGAGGCAGUAAUUUCUGUUCAUUGAAUAUUUACAAUUGCUCUCAAUUAUUUAGACAAUACAUUUUGUCUGUCUUUGUUUGUUUGACUUUUGAAUAGCAAGUGGUAGCAAUUUUUGGUUCCUCAACCAAAAAAAAAA